rnacentral:misc_RNA from 1 species
GUCAAACAUUUGGUAGACUUGAAGGACAAAGCUAUGGAAGGAAACAGCAGGGCAGAGAGACCUUAAAAUUGGGACAAGUGCCGUUGUUUUUGAGGACAAUUCAUAGACUGAGCCAAAAGAACCCUCCAAAUCGGUUAACAGCAUUCCUUCCCAUCUCGACAGUUACAAAUCCAUGCAAUCAAAUCUACACAAUGCUCAACGAAGCAGAGUUAAAUAAUAAACUAAAUACAAAAUCCCAAAAAGCCCAUAGAGAGGAGGCAUCCCUUUGUCAAUACUCAAAUGCACAAAUAGCAAAACAUUCCUUACCAUAAGAAAAGAAGAAAAUCAAAAACCCAAAAUAGACAAAUUAAAAUCAUGGAAAUUAUAAAGAGAAACAGACAGAUGGAAGCAGAAGCAAAAUACAAUAGUAUUACACAUUCCCUUUAUCUUUUUUCCUUCUUAGCUGCUUUUUCACUUUGAUGGAAGACCAGAAAUAAUGGUUGGGAAUAAAAGGUAUGGGCGUAGCUACUGAACUCACUGUACAUCAUUAGACCUCAUCCCCUGCAAAUUUUUGACCGCGGGCAGGCUUUCCUUACUUGACCCUUGCUGUUUUAUGGGAGGGUGCCAAUGCUAAACGACCUGCCCAUUUGCCCCAGUAUGAUGGGGCCCCCUUGAGGUUUGAAGAAGGGUACUUAAAAUCUUAAACGGAAAAUUGGAAAACCAGAAAAGAAAGGCCAUGCCCUUGGGAGCUAAGACCGAGUCUUGUGUCUCUUUGGUUUUUUUUUUUUUCUCUCUUCUUUUUUUUUGUAUUUAUAAAAAAUAGAAAUUUAAAUUCGACCAGUUUUAGUGAAGUCCUAAUAGAUGAAGAAUUUUGGUAUAGUCUGUUUCUAAUGGUGAGAUGACUCUUAUUUGUGUCUUUGUUUGUUUUGUUCAAUAUGAUUGUUGAUUGUGUUUUUAGUUUGCUUUCGUCGUUUUGAUCCUUUUUAUGCUGUUUUUUCAAAUUGUGCCAUAAUACCUCAAUAGUUUUUCCUUUUUGAAUUUCAACCAAGUAAAAAGAGGGGGAAAGAAAUUGCUCUGCUGAUUUAUUAACUUUUCACUAUUUCUUUAGUCAUAUAGACCCUUCCUGGGUAAUUUUUCAUACCCUUUUUGAAAUUCAUCCUGCUAUUUCAACUGUUCCUGUUAAUGAUUUUUGGUUCUUUAAUAGUUUUUGUUGUUCUGUACAAACUUAUUUUGCCGAUUUAUUUAUUUAUCCCCUUGUUUCUUUGAUUUUUCCAAUUGCGGAGUUCUCUUGUAAUCCUUUGCAAAUUUUUGUCAAAACCAAGAUGGGAACUUUAAUGUGCCUGAAUAAAAUUCCCUAGAAAUUGUGGUUAGUCGUGUUAAGUCAGAGUAAAUUCAAUGCACAUGGUCUCACAUGUUCAUUGCUUCAUGUUCUGUAGGAAUUUUAACUGAUUAUUAAUCCGUUGCCUGAUCAGUCUGCAUUUUACUUUUUUAGAGAAUGUUUGGUUUGAAAAAAUC